rnacentral:rRNA from 1 species
UACGUAGGGGGCGAGCGUUGUCCGGAGUUACUGGGCGUAAAGGGCAUGCAGGCGGUCAGGCGCGUUUUGUGUGACAGCGGGUGGCUUAACUACCCGAGGAUACGAAAGACGGCGUGACUUGAGAGCGCGAGAGGGACACGGAAUUCCGGGUGGAGUGGUGAAAUGCGUAGAGAUCCGGAGGAACACCGAAGGCGAAGGCAGUGUCCUGGCGCGUAUCUGACGCUGAGGUGCGAAAGCCAGGGGAG